CAAUAAGCGGAGGAAAAGAAACCAACAGGGAUUGCCCUAGUAACGGCGAGUGAAGCGGCAACAGCUCAAAUUUGAAAUCUGGCUCUCGGGCCCGAGUUGUAAUUUGUAGAGGAUGUUUUUGAUGCGGUGCCUUCCGAGUUCCCUGGAACGGGACGCCAUAGAGGGUGAGAGCCCCGUCUGGUUGGAUGCCAAAUCUCUGUAAAACUCCUUCAACGAGUCGAGUAGUUUGGGAAUGCUGCUCUAAAUGGGAGGUAUAUGUCUUCUAAAGCUAAAUACCGGCCAGAGACCGAUAGCGCACAAGUAGAGUGAUCGAAAGAUGAAAAGCACUUUGAAAAGAGAGUUAAAAAGUACGUGAAAUUGUUGAAAGGGAAGCGUUUGUGACCAGACUUGGACUUGGUUAAUCAUCUGGGGUUCUCCCCAGUGCACUUCUCCAGUUCAGGCCAGCAUCAGUUUUCGCCGGGGGAUAAAGGCUUUGGGAAUGUGGCUCCCCUCGGGGAGUGUUAUAGCCCAUUGUGUAAUACCCUGGCGGGGACUGAGGUUCGCGCAUCUGCAAGGAUGCUGGCGUAAUGGUCAUCAACGACCCGUCUUGAAACACGGACCAAGGAGUCGUCUUCGUAUGCGAGUGUUCGGGUGUCAAACCCCUACGCGUAAUGAAAGUGAACGCAGGUGAGAGCUUCGGCGCAUCAUCGACCGAUCCUGAUGUUCUCGGAUGGAUUUGAGUAAGAGCAUACGGGGCCGGACCCGAAAGAAGGUGAACUAUGCCUGUAUAGGGUGAAGCCAGAGGAAACUCUGGUGGAGGCUCGCAGCGGUUCUGACGUGCAAAUCGAUCGUCAAAUAUGGGCAUGGGGGCGAAAGACUAAUCGAACCUUCUAGUAGCUGGUU
rnacentral:rRNA from 1 species